rnacentral:snRNA from 1 species
AUCCCUUCUCGGCCUUUUGGCUAAGAUCAAGUGUAGUAUCUGUUCUUAUCAGUUUAAUAUCUGAUACGUCCUCUAUCCGAGGACAAUAUAUUAAAUGGAUUUUUGGAGCAGGGAGAUGGAAUAGGAGCUUGCUCCGUCCACUCCGCGCAUCGACCUGGUAUUGCAGUACCUCCAGGAACGGUGCACCCCCU